CCUACGGGUGGCAGCAGUGGGGAAUAUUGCGCAAUGGGCGAAAGCCUGACGCAGCGACGCCGCGUGAGGGAUGAAGGUCUUCGGAUCGUAAACCUCUGUCAGCAGGGAAGAACGGUCAUAGUGCUAAUCAGUAGUGAAUUGACGGUACCUGCAAAGGAAGCACCGGCUAACUCCGUGCCAGCAGCCGCGGUAAUACGGAGGGUGCGAGCGUUAAUCGGAAUUACUGGGCGUAAAGCGCUCGUAGGCGGUAUGUCAAGUCAAGGGUGAAAUCCCCGCGCUUAACGUGGGAAUUGCCUUUGAAACUGGCAAGCUGGAGUGUGUGAGAGGAUGGUGGAAUUCCAGGUGUAGGGGUGAAAUCCGUAGAUAUCUGGAGGAACAUCAGGGGCGAAGGCGACCAUCUGGCACAUCACUGACGCUGAGGAGCGAAAGCGUGGGUAGCAAACAGGAUUAGAUACCCGUGUAGUC
rnacentral:rRNA from 1 species